AGAGUUUGAUCCUGGCUCAGGACGAACGCUGGCGGCGUGCCUAAUACAUGCAAGUCGAACGCUUCUUUUUCCACCGGAGCUUGCUCCACCGGAAAAAGAGGAGUGGCGAACGGGUGAGUAACACGUGGGUAACCUGCCCAUCAGAAGGGGAUAACACUUGGAAACAGGUGCUAAUACCGUAUAACAAUCAAAACCGCAUGGUUUUGAUUUGAAAGGCGCUUUCGGGUGUCGCUGAUGGAUGGACCCGCGGUGCAUUAGCUAGUUGGUGAGGUAACGGCUCACCAAGGCCACGAUGCAUAGCCGACCUGAGAGGGUGAUCGGCCACAUUGGGACUGAGACACGGCCCAAACUCCUACGGGAGGCAGCAGUAGGGAAUCUUCGGCAAUGGACGAAAGUCUGACCGAGCAACGCCGCGUGAGUGAAGAAGGUUUUCGGAUCGUAAAACUCUGUUGUUAGAGAAGAACAAGGAUGAGAGUAACUGUUCAUCCCUUGACGGUAUCUAACCAGAAAGCCACGGCUAACUACGUGCCAGCAGCCGCGGUAAUACGUAGGUGGCAAGCGUUGUCCGGAUUUAUUGGGCGUAAAGCGAGCGCAGGCGGUUUCUUAAGUCUGAUGUGAAAGCCCCCGGCUCAACCGGGGAGGGUCAUUGGAAACUGGGAGACUUGAGUGCAGAAGAGGAGAGUGGAAUUCCAUGUGUAGCGGUGAAAUGCGUAGAUAUAUGGAGGAACACCAGUGGCGAAGGCGGCUCUCUGGUCUGUAACUGACGCUGAGGCUCGAAAGCGUGGGGAGCAAACAGGAUUAGAUACCCUGGUAGUCCACGCCGUAAACGAUGAGUGCUAAGUGUUGGAGGGUUUCCGCCCUUCAGUGCUGCAGCUAACGCAUUAAG
rnacentral:rRNA from 1 species